rnacentral:rRNA from 1 species
CAGCAGCCGCGGGAAUACAGAGGGUGCGAGCGUUAAUCGGAUUUACUGGGCGUAAAGCGUGCGUAGGCGGCUUUUUAAGUCGGAUGUGAAAUCCCUGAGCUUAACUUAGGAAUUGCAUUCGAUACUGGGAAGCUAGAGUAUGGGAGAGGAUGGUAGAAUUCCAGGUGUAGCGGUGAAAUGCGUAAAGAUCUGGAGGAAUACCGAUGGCGAAGGCAGCCAUCUGGCCUAAUACUGACGCUGAGGUACGAAAGCAUGGGGAGCAAACAGGAUUAGAUACCCCAGUAGUCCCUGUCUCUUAUAC